UGGGGAAUAUUGCACAAUGGGCGCAAGCCUGAUGCAGCGACGCCGCGUGAGGGAUGACGGCCUUCGGGUUGUAAACCUCUUUCAAUAGGGACGAAGCGCAAGUGACGGUACCUAUAGAAGAAGGACCGGCCAACUACGUGCCAGCAGCCGCGGUAAUACGUAGGGUCCGAGCGUUGUCCGGAAUUACUGGGCGUAAAGAGCUCGUAGGUGGUUUGUCGCGUUGUUCGUGAAAACUCACAGCUUAACUGUGGGCGUGCGGGCGAUACGGGCAGACUAGAGUACUGCAGGGGAGACUGGAAUUCCUGGUGUAGCGGUGGAAUGCGCAGAUAUCAGGAGGAACACCGGUGGCGAAGGCGGGUCUCUGGGCAGUAACUGACGCUGAGGAGCGAAAGCGUGGGGAGCGAACAGGAUUAGAUACCCUGGUAGUCCACGCCGUAAACGGUGGGUACUAGGUGUGGGUUUCCUUCCUUGGGAUCCGUGCCGUAGCUAACGCAUU
rnacentral:rRNA from 1 species